ensembl:lncRNA
GGGGGAGGGAGGAAUAAAUAAAUAACAAUCCCGUGACCCUCUCCCGUCCGACUUUCCCCCGAGAACGAGGAAGAAACGGGCGACGACUGAGCAAACGACCAAUGGCACGGAUGGACGGACGUAUUUAAGAAGAAAGUAGGGGGGGGGGGGGGGAACCCAGGCAAAGAAGGAAAGAAAGAAAGAUGGAGAGAGUGAGAGAGAGAUGAGAGAGAGAGAGAGAGAAAUAAAGAGCGAGCGAACAAACGAAGGAACGAAUGUGGGGGAGAAAAAGAGAAAAAGGAGCGGGGGGCAGAUCAGGUGGAGCGGAUACAGGGGAUUGGGGGGGGGGGGUGCCGGGCACCGGACGCCAAGUCGAGUCACUAUCCGGCCGAGCCAUCGGAAGGGGGGGACACCUUUUUUUUUUUUUAAAAAAAAAAAAAAAAAAAAGGGGGGGGGGGGGGAAUAGGGGAAAAAAAUCAAUUUAAAAAAAAAAAAAACGGGAAAAGAAAAAUCAAAAAUCAUUAAAAAAAAAAUGCAGAAAAGGUUGCCAGGGCGGGGUGCCGGGGGGGGGGGGGGUUGGUGUUGAAGCUCUGUCUGCCAGGUCUACCCGCCACCUCGGCACUGCAGCCACUUCCCGACAGAGGGGGGGGGCGUGCUGGGCUGGGCCGGGCCGGGCCUACUCACGCGCGCACACACACGGAAAGAAAUGCACGAACGAAUGAAUAAAAAAAAUUAAAAAUUUGAAAAGACUUAAAAACCGAAAAUGUAAAAUAAUAUAAAAAUAAAAAAUAAAUCGACUGACGAAUCCAAUAAAAAAAUUAAAAAUUGAAAAUAGGGACAAAAAAGGAAUUCUUAAAAUAUUAACUAAAAAAAAAAAAUUAAUUAAAAAAUGAAAAAAAAUUAAAAAAAAAAAAAGGAAAAGGCAAUUUAAAAAAAAAUUAAAGUCAAUUUAAAUUUUUUUUUUUUAAAAAAGUCAAAAAUAAGAACAAAAACGGCGAGGGGGGGGGUGGUGGUCGUAAAGCCGGCCGCCAGGUCUACCCACUGCCUCGGCACCGCAGCCACUUACCGACGGGGGGGGGGGGGCGUGCUGGGCCGGGCCGGGCCGGGCCGGGCCUACUCACGCGCGCACGCACACGGAAAGAAAUGCACGAACGAAUGAAUAAAAAAAAAAAAUUUUUUUUUUUAAAUAAAAACCCCGAAAAUGUAAAAAAAAAAAAAAAAAAAAAAAUAAAUCGACUGACGAAUCCAAUAAAAAAAAAAUUAAAAAUAAAAAGUAGGGACAAAAAAGGAAUUCUUAAAAUAUUAACUAAAAAAAAUUAAUUAAAAAAUGAAAAAAAAAAGAAAAAAAAAGAAAAAGGCAAUUUAAAAAAAAUUAAAAAAAAAGUCAAUUUAAAAAAAAUUUAAAAAAAAAGUCAAAAAUAAGAACAAAAACGGCGAGGGGGGGGGUGGUGGUCGUAAAGCCGGCCGCCAGGUCUACCCGCCACCUCGGCACCGCAGCCACUUGCCGGCGGGGGGGGCGUGCUGGGCCGGGCCGGCCGGCCGACAGGUCUACCCCCGGACCCGCCUAGGGAGAAAAAAAAAAAAAAAAAAAAAACGCCCGACAGGUCAACCCCCGGGCUCGGGUAAAACGGAGGGAGCCCGUCCCACGGCACGCGCCGCGGGGACGGAAACGGGGAAGGGGGCCGGCCGCGCCCCCCGCCCCUCUCCCCCUCUUUCCAACCCCGCGCCGGCGCCGGCGCGGGGCCGGGGAAGGAAGGAACGAACGAACGAACGAACGAACCCAGGAACAAACGGAGCGGCGCGGGGAGCCGACCGACUGGCCCGCCGGACCCGGCCCCGCGCCGGGGCGCCGCCACGCGCGCGCGCGCGCGCUCCGCGCUCCGACAAAAGCUUGUGUCGAGGGCUGACUCUCAAUAGAUCGCAGCGAGGGAGCUGCUCUGCUACGUACGAAACCCCGACCCAGAAUCAGGUCGUCUACGAAUGAUUUAGCACCGGGUUCCCCACGAACAUGCGGUACGCGGCGGGGGAGAGGCGGCGCCACAUCUGUCCGCGCUCCGGUCCCGACCACGAGCGGCGCUCCGCACCGACCGCCCGCCCGAGGGGGGCGGCGGCCGGCUAUCGCGAGCCCACCGAGGCGCCUCGGCGCUGCGGUAUCGCUACGUUUAGGGGGGAUUCUGACUUAGAGGCGUUCAGUCAUAAUCCCACAGAUGGUAGCCUCGCUCCAGUGGCUCCUCAGCCAAGCACAUACACCAAAUGUCUGAACCUGCGGUUCCUCUCGUACUGAGCAGGAUUAC